GAUGAACGCUGGCGGCGUGCUUAACACAUGCAAGUCGAACGGUGAAGGCGGAGCUUGCUCUGCUGGAUCAGUAGCGAACGGGUGAGUAACACGUGAGCAAUCUGCCCCUGACUCUGGGAUAAGCGCUGGAAACGGCGUCUAAUACUGGAUACGAGCUGCGAAGGCAUCUUCAGCAGCUGGAAAGAAUUUCGGUCAGGGAUGAGCUCGCGGCCUAUCAGCUUGUUGGUGAGGUAAUGGCUCACCAAGGCGUCGACGGGUAGCCGGCCUGAGAGGGUGACCGGCCACACUGGGACUGAGACACGGCCCAGACUCCUACGGGAGGCAGCAGUGGGGAAUAUUGCACAAUGGGCGAAAGCCUGAUGCAGCAACGCCGCGUGAGGGACGACGGCCUUCGGGUUGUAAACCUCUUUUAGCAGGGAAGAAGCGAAAGUGACGGUACCUGCAGAAAAAGCGCCGGCUAACUACGUG
rnacentral:rRNA from 1 species